AAUAUUCUCUUGUAUUUAUAUUUUGUCGGCCACCAGCAUUUUCCGGCAAAGCCAAAAACACCAUUAUUUUUUCGUUUCGUUUCUUCAGCAAGCAACACCAUACUCCGGCUAAACCCCAUUGCCAUUUUUCUGGCAAACAACAAGUAGUCAAACCCCCCCCCCCCAACUCUUUCUCUAUCACUACACCACUAUAUUCCGUCACUAGACCCACCAAAACCCCAUUCGUAUUUCACCUUUUCCGGCGCAAAACCCCACCAUUGAGCCACCUGUUUCCUCUAUUUCCAGACCCACCACAAAACCCGUGUACGGCGAAAGCAUCUACCCAAAACCCGCCUAAAAACAGUUCAAAUCAGACCCGAAACAACCCCAAAGCAACCAUCGAUCCAAACCCACCUGAAACCAACCCCUUUUCCUCUUUACCCAUCUCCGGCAAAGAACGGAGCAGCCACUAACGGCGAGCUCGAAGCUCAUCCAUUUCCAGUGACGGCCAGAUCCUUCCCCUUUCCCCUCUUUCGAUUUUUAUUUGUUUUACAGAUACUCGGACAAGCUUAACAACAGUUGGAACUAGCAGAAAACCCCAACUCAGGUGAAGGACGACUAUUAACUCCGACGAGUGCUCCAUCAUUUACGACGAGCCCGAAGCUCUAAACGCCAGUCAACCCAUGAUGAGAGCCAUAAAGUGGAAAUUAAACCAGAGAGGACAGUCAGCUAAGAAGUAGCAAUCACAAUAAUGAUGAUGUGUUUUAGACAAACACAAAUGAGGAGCAACAAAUAGUCAGCUUUAGUGAACAAGCAGUUCAAGAGGAUCUAGUUAGAGUUACUUUUCAAGACUUUCAUCAGAUAAAUUAUGAAGCAAAGUCAACAGAUCAACAACAACAAUUACAAUCAGUAGAACAUAAGGUGGAGGAAAACAAUCAGAAAACGGAGGAUCAAGUACUGCAGAGUAUUGGGGUGUCUUCAGCAAAAGGAAACAAACCAAUCAGGGUUAAUCUAGUGCUGAGUGUCAGAUCAAGUUUUAAAUGAAGAUGAAUGCACUAUUUUCGAAUGUGAGGUCAAAAUUCAUUCCAUACAAUACAAAUGCUACAUAUAUAGAUAUCACAAGUUCUUUAUUAUUACUUUGAUGGAAACUUUGAAGAGGCUAGACAAAAUUCACAAGUUUGAAAGAAGAUUGGAGAUGCAAUAUCGCUAGUGAUGCCCGUUUGGUUAUGAGUACUUUUUGAAGGGGACACUGGUCACGGAAUGGAGACUUUAACCGAAACAUAUGACCAAAAAAAAAAGUACUGAAAGCAUGGGAAUAUUGUUGAAUUAACAUCUUGGUAGGGUUUAUUUUUGUGUUACAUAAGGCUGGGCAAUGGAACAGAAUAUAUCGGUAUCGUUCCGGUUCGGUUGCCUACGGGAUGGAAUGGGACAUCCCGAAUUGGGACACGGAACGGAACCGAGGUUUGAUACGGGUGUACCGAUACCGGUUUAUCCCAGUUUAUUUCGAUUCCGGUUCGAUUUCGAUUAA